UAUGGAGCUGGACGGGGCUUUGGGGGCCGUCGGAGAGUUCGGCCGCAGCCAGCGGCGCCUCGCCGCCUUCCUGGUGCUGCUGCAGGUGUAUGUAGCCUGCCAGUCCAUGCUUAUUGUGCUAGUGGGGGCUGUACCACAGUAUCAUAUCAACCAAGAAGAAAUUCCAGCCAGCAGAGAUGAGCUUGCCAAGCACACCCAAUUUACAGAUAACUUCACAUCUAUAGUAACUGAGUGGUAUUUAAUCAAACAAGAAGCUUAUAAAGUGAGCCUUGUAUCAUCCUUGUUUUUUGCUGGAUUGCUUAUUGGAAAUAUUGCAUUUGGCCCAUUGUCUGAUAAAUUGGGCAGGAAGCCAGUGUACCUGUCAGGUCUGUUCUUUGAUGUAAUUUUCGGGUAUGCUGCGGCAUUUGCUCCAAGCUAUGAAAUUUUUGCAAUGUCACGCUUUAUUGUUGGGAUUAUGAAUGGUGGAAUGUCUCUGGUGUCUUUUGUCUUGACGCAAGAAUAUGUAGGAAAGUCAUUCUGGUCUUUUACAGGUUCAUUAACAAAUUUGACCUUUGCAGUUGGCAUAGCAGUUUAUGCCUUACUGGGUUACUACAUAAGGCAAUGGCGUUACCUUGCAUUUGUAUCAAAUUGUCCAGGAAUUUUCUUUUUUCUCCUUUCUCUUUUGCUUCCAGAAUCACCCAGAUGGCUGUAUUCCCAGGGGAACACUAUAGAAGCGGAGCGUGUACUACAAUACCUAGCCCUGGGUAAUGGAAAAGAAAGGUUAACUAUAAAAUUAAAACCAUGUGCAGGUACAAUGAAAACAGAUGAAUCAGCACCCAAUGUCCUAAGCCUAGUAAAACACCCAGUCCUUCGGUGGCGAACUGUCAUUUUGAUGUAUAUCUGGUAUGUCUGCAGUCUUGUGUACUAUGGCUUAACAUUGAAUGCUGGUGAAUUAGGAGGAAAUCUUUACCUAAAUGUAGCUCUGUAUGGCCUUGUAGAAGUUCCAGCAUUUCCACUCUGUAUGUUCUUUAUUGAGAAACCCUGGUCUGGAAGACGUAAAACUAUGACUUCUUUUCUAAUAUUUGCAGGAUUUGCCUGUAUAAUCACCAUGCUUUUACCUGAAAAUGCUGGUUUAUUCUUCAGUCCAACUUCAUUAGCAUUGUGUGGAAAAAUGACAGUCAGUGCUGCCUUCAACAUAGUGUAUAUUUAUACUUCAGAACUCUACCCGACAGUAUUAAGAAAUGCUGGCUUGGGUGUCUGUUCAAUGACUUGUAGAUUUGGUGGUAUUUUAGCUCCAUUUGUGCCUUCAAUGAAAUCUCUUAAUCCAUCUGUGCCAUUUGUGGUUUUUGGAAUCAGUGGAUUAUCAGCAGGAUUCUUGACUCUUCUUCUUCCAGAAACUCUAAACAAGCCAAUUGCAGAGAGCAUUGAAGACCUGCAGAUGCCCAAAUACCAAUCUCUAAAAAGCAAAAAGGCAGAGUAAAAGCAUUUUAAUGUAGCUUUUUAUUAAUUUACAUACAUCUGCAGGUCACAAUAUGGUAACUCAAUUAGAAGAAAACACUUAAACUUUCAGAAAACAUCUCUGUAGUGAAAAAUCCAACAUCUUUUGGAUUUUUUUGGAAAGAUACUUUUACAAUUAGUGUGGAACCAUUGUGAGAUACCACAGUGGAGGACAUACCUUAUGCCAAGAGAUAUAAAGUAAAAUAACAUUGCCAGUAUUUUAAACAAUUCAUUUUUAUAUCAAGGUAAACUGAGAAGAUGGAAAAACAGUUGGACAAAAAAUGUGAAAAAGAAAUAGCAAAUCUAUGCAUUGAUUUAAGGACUCUAUAAGCUACACUUUGGAUAUGGAAUAUAUAGUUUUUGAACUGAUGGAAUAUUUUACUCUAUUGUUUUGAUAUAUCUUACUCCAUUUGUAAGAUAUAAUUGUCAGAUGCAAACUAAACUAUAAUGGUGAAUGGAAGUGCCAU